rnacentral:rRNA from 1 species
AGCGAACGCUGGCGGCAGGCCUAACACAUGCAAGUCGAACGAACCUUUCGGGGUUAGUGGCGGACGGGUGAGUAACACGUGGGAACGUGCCUUUAGGUUCGGAAUAACUCAGGGAAACUUGUGCUAAUACCGAAUGUGCCCUUCGGGGGAAAGAGUUAUCGCCUUUAGAGCGGCCCGCGUCUGAUUAGCUAGUUGGUUGAGGUAAUGGCUCACCAAGGCGACGAUCAGUAGCUGGUCUGAGAGGAUGAUCAGCCACAUUGGGACUGAGACACGGCCCAAACUCCGACGGGAGGCAGCAGUGGGGAAUAUUGCGGAAUGGGCGAAAGCCUGACGCAGCCAUGCCGCGUGAAUGAUGAAGGUCUUAGGAUUGUAAAAUUCUUUCACCGGGGACGAUAAUGACGGUACCCGGAGAAGAAGCCCCGGCUAACUUCGUG